UAGAUUUUUCUCACUUUGACAAUUCACAAAAUCUCUCUCUUUUCUCUUCCUCUCUUACACCAUUCAGUUACAAAACGGUUACCAAUUAUUUUCCUCAUUCUUUAUCAAUGCUGAGCAAGGAUUUCUACAUGGUAUCAGAGCUUCUUCAUUGAAGAGGCUCUGCUACAAUUCUGUUGCGCCGUGUCCUUCUUCUUCUUGUUAAGGUUUUGACCUCUCAUUAUCUUUCUAUUUCUCAAGAAUUUGCGGUUCUACAAAUCUAGGUUUUGUGAAUUCUCUACAAUUCAAAUCUAUGUGAUUAUGUUGAAGUUGAUUUUGUUGAAAUGGAAAAUCGCAUUGGAAGUUUAAUGAAUCUGAUUCAAGAUCCUAUUUCUCCUUUCUUCCUUCAUCCUAAUGAAAAUCCUAGAGCUGUUUUAGUUUCGAAUUUGCUGAAUGGAAAUAACUACCACUCGUGGUCUCGUGCAAUGACUAUGUCACUGAAAAUGAAGAAUAAGUUGCAAUUCAUUGAUGGAUUAUUACCUAAACCUCCAAUUGAAGAUCCUAUGUUCAUAACUUGAGAUAGGUGUAACACUUUAGUUCUCUAUUGGUUAAUACUAAGAGUGAGCAUGGGCUGGGUUGGGACGAGUUAAGGCUUGUCCUUACCCGACCAUAAAUACUGGUCGGGUCACUUUUUUGAACCCGGACCCAGCCCUACACCCGAAGCUAACCCGACCCUAAAUAGCGACCGGGUCAGCCUUUAAACCCGACCCAGCCUAGACCCUACUAAAUAUAAUGCAUACUCAUUUUAGAUAAAGACUUCUCAGUAUUAUUUAUUAUUAUGAAUAUGUAGUUUGAUAUAUAAAAUGAUAUAUGUAUAUAUGUAUUAUUCAUCAUGUAUAUAUUAUGGAAAAAUUAAAGAAUAAAUGAAACAUUUGGCCAAAAGGGUAUCAUUACUCUAUACACAUUUGAGUAGAAACACAUACAAACAUGAUGAGCGAGUGACCCUGGGACGGGACGGACCGGGUUAUGCUUGGUCCCUACCCAAUCCUAAAUAUUGACUGGGUCUAUUUUUGGAACCCGAACCCGACCCUAGACCCAAUCAGACCCGACCCUAUUCAGACCAGAUCAUGAUCGGGCCGUGCCGGGUGAGCGGGUAGGGUCGGGUCAUGCUCACCCAUAGUUAAUACAAUCAAUAGAUUCCACUGUUGUGCAAAGUGUGAUGUGGAUGGAGACUGCUUUUGAGAUUUGGCAUGAUCUUCGUGAGAGAUACUAUCAAGGAGAUGUCUAUCGUAUUUCAGAAUUACUAACUGAAAUUCACACUUACAAGAGUUUGACAACUUCAGGCCUAUUCUUCUCUGUUCCUGCAUCAACAAAUGUGAAUGUGGUUAUACAACUAAGUCAUACAGGGAAAAUGAUUAUGUUAUAUGCUUUCUCAAAGGUCUCAAUGAGCAAUAUGAAAGUGUUAGGUCAUAGAUUAUGCUGAUGGGUCCUCUGUCUACAAUAAACAAGGUGUUCUCCUUACUUGUUCAGCAAGAGAGACAUCUAAAUAUGCACUUAACUGAACCAAAAUUGUUGAUAAGUGUUGUGGAUCAUGGAAACACUUUAGAAAGUGGACAUAAUUCUUAUAUGUCUAGCAGAGGCAGAGGAAGGAACUACCAAACUGGUAGGUUCCAAUCUGGACAAGGAAGAGGAAACAAUGUUUUAGGAAAAUAUCCUGGAGGUAGAGGUACAAAGAUUUGUACAUAUUGUAACAAAUCAGGCCACACAAUUGAUCAUUGUUAUAGGAAGCAUGGAUUUCCUCCUAACUAUCAGAGAAAUGUGAAUAAUUUCACUGUUGAAGAUAGUCAAGAAGAGUAUGAGAUUAGUGGCAAUAGAACCAAAGAUGAAUUUGUCACUAAAGAGAAAAGUUUGAGGAUGCAAUUCACUCAUGAGCAACAUAAGACUUUACUUUCUCUUAUCCAACAAUCAUCCUUGCAACAAAGUCAUGCUACCAAUCAGUUAAACACUACUCAUGCUGAUAGCUCUAACACUAAACUUACCUCCAAUGCUCAAACUAGAGGUAAGUCUAUAUCUUGUCAUGUUUAGCCAAGUCUAGUCAUUGGAUUUUAGAUACAGGGACUACUGGCCAUGUGUGUUAUACUAUGUCAAAUUUCCAUACCUUCAAACAGAUUAGACCCAUUCAUGUCACCUUGCCUAAUGGGAGUCAAGUGUCUACCAAUAUUUCAGGCACUGUCAUGUUUUCCAGUAGUUUUUACCUGACUGAUGUUUUCUACAUUCCUUCCUUCCAUUAUAAUCUUGUGUCUGUUUCCAAGUUGACACAUACAUUCUAUACAAACUAAUCUUUGAAAACAAUAUUUGUCAUGUCCAAGAGCUCUUCUCUUUGAAGAUGAUUGGCAUAGCUGAGCUCAAAGGUGGCCUUUUUGCAAUGGUUGCUUCUCUUAUGUCAUUGCAAAAAUCUUCUAAAAGUAUUGUGUCUUCUAAUACUUGUCAUAGUAGUAUCAAUUCCUUUACAAAAUACAAUUGUAAUGUUUGGCAUAGUAGAUUGGGACAUCCCUCACAUCAAAAACUUCUUGUAAUGCAAAAAGAUUUUCCAUUUAUUCAAUGUAAUAAGACUCUUGAUCCAUGUCAUGUUUGUCAUUUGGCAAAACAAAAAAGAUUGCCUUAUAUUGAAAGUGUUUCCAAAUCUGUGCAUUUGUUUGAUUUAAUUCAUAUGGAUAUUUGGGGUCCCAUCUCUAUACCUAGUACUUUUGGUCAUAGAUAUUUCUUGAUCAUUGUGGAAGAUAAAUCUAGGUUCACUUGGUUGUAUUUCUUAAGACUCAAAUCAGAAGUAUCUCAAUUGAUUAAGUCUUUUAUCUCCCUGGUUCAAACACAGUUUGGUGUUAAGAUGAAGUCUGUUAGGACUGAUAAUGGGAAGGAGUUCAGUAUCCCUGACUUCUAUGCUUCAAAUGGUAUUUUACACCAGCCUUCAUGUGUUGAAACACCCCAACAAAAUGGUGUAGUUAAGAGAAAAUACCAGCAUAUUCUAGGGGUAGCCAGGGCCCUCAUUUUCCAAUCAAGUAUUCCUCAUUGCUUCUGGAAUUAUGCAAUAUCUCAUGCCAUUCAUUUGAUCAAUAGGCAGCCUUCUCUCUAUUUGUCUCAACAAUCACCUUAUAGAGUGCUUUAUGGUCGUGUUCCUGAAGUUUCUGACCUAAAGAUUUUUGGUUGUUUGGCUUAUGCCUCUACUAUCACUGCUCAUAGAACAAAGUUGGAUCCUAGAUCUAGAAAGUGUAUUUUUCUAGGAUUCCAACAUGGAGUAAAGGGAUACAUCUUGCUUGAUCUACAAUCUUAUGAAAUCUUCUUGUCUAGACAGGUGUUUUCUAUGAACAUAUGUUUCCUUUCAUAGAAGAUACUCAUACACAGAGUCCAUCUCAUUCUUCACCAUCUGUUGUUCUUCCUCUGUCAAGUCUUGAUCACAAUGGCAUUGAUCCCUUUCCUGAUAUUGUUACUUCUCAUACAUCUCUUUAUAAUAAUCAAGAGUCUACAUCAGUCACCCCUCUCAUCCCGAAUUAUGUGUCUCAAUCCUCACAAUUGUCUGAUCAUGUUGUUCCUUCAAAUAGUUUACAUAGUCAUACCCCUUUUAGGAAGUUUUCUAGAGUCCAACACAAACCUACAUAUUUACAAGACUAUCAUCGUAAUCUUUUGAAGUCUAGUGAGUCCUCUGUUACUGCUGCUCUGUGUCCUAUGGUCAAGUACCCUUUGUCUAAGAGUUUGUCCUACUCCAACUUGUUUCUUAAACACAAACAUUUUUCUUUUGUUAUAUCUUCUAUCAGUGAGCCUAUUCACUAUGGUGAUGCAAUUAAGGAUGAUGGUUGGAAACAAGCCAUUACCAAGGAGCUUAAUGCUCUAAAACAGAAUAACACUUGGCUUCUUACUACUCUUCCUGCCAACAAGAAAACCAUUGGAUGUAAAUGGGUUUUCAAGGUUAAACAUAAAGCAGAUGGGUCUAUUGAGAGGUACAAGGCCAGAUUGGUUGCCAAGGGGUUUACACAAACUGAAGGGGUUGACUACCUAGAGACUUUUAGUCCUGUAGUCAAGAUGACCACCAUCAGGAUUCUCUUAGCUCUAACAUCAAUCAAUAAUUGGCAUUUGCAUCAAUUGGAUGUCAAUACAGCUUUUCUGCAUUGUGAGUUAAAUGAAGAAGUCUACAUGAAGAUUCCUCCUGGCCUAGAAAUCAAGUCCCCUGGUCUUGUGUGUAAGCUUGAAAAGUCUUUAUAUGGGCUUAAACAGGCUAGUCAACAAUGGCAUGCUAAGCUCACUAGUGUGCUCAUCCAAUCUGGAUAUUGCAGAUCAUUCUCUGAUCACUCUCUGUAUUUCAAGAUUCACACACCUCACUUCACUGCCAUACUAGUUUAUGUUGAUGAUUUAGUAUUCACAUGCAAUGAUAUUGAGGAAAUCACUCAUAUGAAGUCCAUCUUGGAUUCUAAGUUCAGCAUUAAAGAUCUUGGUCCAUUGAAAUUUUUUCUAGGCAUGGAAAUUGCAAGGACUUCAAAGGGCAUACAUCUAUAUCAGAGGAAAUACAUCUUGGAUCUUCUUCAAGAAUCAGAUCUCCUUGCUACUAAACCUUGUUCCACUCCUAUUGGACUAUAGUAGUAAGCUAAUCCACUCUUAAUAUGGUACACUUUUAAAGGAUUCAUCUUCCUAUAGAAGAUUAAUUGACAAACUCCUUUAUCUUACUCAUACGCGCCCUGAUCUUUCCUUUGUUGUUGGACAUCUCAGUCAGUUUGUGUGGCAAGUCCUACAGAUCUUCACUUUGCCUCAGCUAUUAGAAUUCUCAAAUAUUUGAAGAGUUCUAUCACUCAGGGUCUUUUGAUGUAAUAAUUUUGCUUUAAAUAAUUUUACUUUUGAUAUAAAAUUAAGGAAACAGAGAUUGAAAUCACCUUUGGUUUAUUUUCAUUUUGAAAUUUAUUUUUAUGGAAUCAAAAUAGUAAUAAUUUUAAAUAAAAAGUAAAAGUAUAUUUUGAAAUCUCAUAACUCUUUUUUCAACUUUAUUUAGCAAGUUUAUCAUUUUCAAAAUUCCAUUGAUUUGAAAAUGACUUUAAAUUCCAAACAUUAUUGUGACAAGGAAUUAAUUAUGUAGUCAUUCUUUUUAGUAAAACUCCAUUUGAUUUAGAAAUACUAAGACUUAUUUAAUAUUCAAAAAAUAAUAUUUUUGCUCUAUUAUAUCCUAACUUGUUUACUAUUACUAAUAAUGUAUUGUUAUUUUUUACCACUAUGAUAUAAAAUUACAGAGAUAAAAAUUGUAAUAAUCUUUUGUUUAUUUUUAUUUUUUCACCGAGAAACUUAAUUUUCGGGAGUAAAACAAUAAUAAUUUUAAAUAAAUGAAUACAAUUGAUAUCAAUUUUACUUAUUGAAAAUAAUAUUAUACUUAGGAACCACUAAAAGUAUAUUAUGAGACUCUAUAGCUAUUUUUUUCAAGUUUAUUUAGACAUUUUCAAAAUUACAUCAGCUGAAAAUCUUUAAAAUCAAGAUUAUAGUUUGACAAUGAAUUAAAAAUAUUUUCAUUUUUGUUUAAAAAAGCAGUUUUAUUUUUAAUACUACAACUCUACAAGUAUUGCUAAGAGCCUAAAGAGAGACGGUGGGAAAUAAUGAGAGAAGAAAAUGAGAGCGUUAUUAAUAUUGAAAUUUAAGUCAUUCCAUUAAUCUAUGAGAAAAAGAUGUAUGCACUAAUGGUGUAUGAAUUUCAUACAUUGACAUCGUAUCAUUUAUCAUUAAUAUUUAAUUGUUGUUGACUUUUCAAAAAAAAUAAUUCAAAUGAAUGAUGAAGCACAUAUGUAUAUAUCUUUACAUUGUCAAUGUAUAUAUUUUACAAUUUAGUGGCUAAGGUUAAACUGAAAAUUUAACGAUGUAGAUAUGUGUCUAUAUAUUUUUUUAGAUGACAAUAUCUUAUGUUUCAUAAUUUAAGGUUUCGCUGAUGGUCCUGAGUUAUUUGAUGUACUCUUCCAAGUAUGAGGUUUAAACAUUCUAAUGGGAAAGCUAUCAGAAGAAUUGACAAAUUUCUAAUAUCAUUUGAAUGGUUAGAGAUGGACACUUCGUCGAUAUUUUUAUUAACUAAUUAAUUUUGAAUACGUCAAAAUGAGCAAACAAUUAAAUUAUUUGUUAAAUUACAAUACUUUGACUAUUAUCAUUGGAAUUUGAAGUUGUAAGCCUAACGCGGUUCCUCUGAAUCUCUCUCAUUCUUUAUUAUUUUACAGUUUAGACUGAGACACCAUGACCAAACACACAAAACAAUGUUAUACCUUAACUCAUCAAACAUAUAAAAUUGAACAUGUUUAACUGACUUUCUCAUUUCAUAACAUUAUUGCACUGAAACUAACUUGAAAGCUAGUUUUGCAGUAUCAUAUGUAAUAGUAUCACACGCAAGUCAUAUAUAUGAAGCUUCUUUGGUUUCUUCAAUGCCUGUUAUGCCUGGUGCUGCUUCUCAUCCAUCCCUCUAUUGCUCCCAGGUAAAUUAUUUAAGUUUUAUUUCACUUAUUAAAAUGAUAUAGGACUUGUAAAAAUUUUCAUCACCAUAGCUAACUUUAUGUUUCAGAAUCUUAUUUAAGUUAACUAUUUAUAACUAAAGUUGAGUACAUUAAUUUCACACUUAAUUAAAUGUAAUGGGUUUUGUGAGUUGUCUAUUUUGGAACAGAGGGAAAGCUCCUGCUGCAGGCCGUGAUGCAGAUAUGAAGAUAAAGCCCCCGCCAGCAAAAACCGGAAACCCUGGUACACACCCAUAAUGGAUAUUGAAAUAAGCAUUGACAUGCUCCAAUGUUUUCAGCUAUGUAAUCAACAUGUUCGUACAAUAAUAACACCCGUUUGUUUCAUAUAUUGGAAAUUCUUCAAGAUACCAACCCACUUGAAAUCAUUUCCUUACUUAAAUCUCAUUUCCAAGUGAGGAAUUUCUCUAAUAUAUUAUCAUUGUAAAGAUGUUUAUACGUGACCACUAUAUCAUUCAACUUCAUUUGUAUUACUUUAUGUAUUAUUCAUAUUUAAGAGAGUUGAUGAU
rnacentral:lncRNA from 1 species